rnacentral:rRNA from 1 species
GAUGAACGCUGGCGGCGUGCCUAAUACAUGCAAGUCGAGCGAACGGACGAGAAGCUUGCUUCUCUGAUGUUAGCGGCGGACGGGUGAGUAACACGUGGAUAACCUACCUAUAAGACUGGGAUAACUUCGGGAAACCGGAGCUAAUACCGGAUAAUAUUUUGAACCGCAUGAUUCAAAAGUGAAAGACGGUCUUGCUGUCACUUAUAGAUGGAUCCGCGCUGCAUUAGCUAGUUGGUAAGGUAACGGCUUACCAAGGCAACGAUGCAUAGCCGACCUGAGAGGGUGAUCGGCCACACUGGAACUGAGACACGGUCCAGACUCCUACGGGAGGCAGCAGUAGGGAAUCUUCCGCAAUGGGCGAAAGCCUGACGGAGCAACGCCGCGUGAGUGAUGAAGGCCUUCGGAUCGUAAAACUCUGUUAUUAGGGAAGAACAUAUGUGUAAGUAACUGUGCACAUCUUGACGGUACCUAAUCAGAAAGCCACAGCUAACUACGUG